AUACCGGGCCUUUUUGGGCUUGGUAAUUGGAAUGAGGGAGAGUUAAAUGGACCAUCGAGUAUCCAUUGGAGGGCAAGUCUGGUGCCAGCAGCUGCGGUAAUACCAGCUCCAAUAGCGUAUAUUAAAGUUGUUGCAGUUAAAAAGCUCGUAGUUGGACUUGUGUGCGCUGUCCGCGGGUGGCCUGCGCCCAAAAGGGCGUUUCGGUUCGGCCCCGGUGGCGCCUUGAAAUCUGCAGCUGGGGGGACGUUGGCCUUAACUGGUCGGCGACCGCACGCCGGCUGCUCGGUUACUGUGAGAAAAUUAGAGUGUUCAAGGCAGGCAUUGGGUGCAAUUGAAUACAUUAGCAUGGAAUAAUAAAAUAUGGCUCCUGCCGUAUUUUGUUGGUUUUGACUGGUGGGAGUAAUGAUUGAUAGGGACGGUUGGGGGUGCUAGUAUUGGGCGGCCAGAGGUGAAAUUCAUGGAUUCGCUCAAGACUAACUUAUGCGAAAGCAUUCACCAAGGACGUCCUCUUUAAUCAAGAACGAAAGUUGGGGGAUCGAAGACGAUCAGAUACCGUCGUAGUCUCAACCAUAAACUAUGUCGACUUGGGAUCGGCGGUAGUUUUUUCAUUAAGACACUGUCGGGACCACGGGAGAAAUCAAAGUGUCUGGACUCUGGGGGAAGUAUGGUCGCAAGGCUGAAACUUGAAGGAAUUGACGGAAGGGCACCACCAGGAGUGGAGCCUGCGGCUUAAUUUGACCCAACACGGGGAAACUUACCAGGUCCAGAGAUGUAGAGGAUUGACAGAUUGAAGCUCUUUCUUGAUCACUUCGGUGGUGGUGCAUGGCCGUUCUUAGUUGGUGGAGUGAUUUGUCUGGUUAAUUCCGUUAACGAACGAGACCUCAGCCUGCUAGUGUAGUCGGCUGGAUUGCCUUUGGCGAUCCGUGAUUUCGACUUCUUAGAGGGACAAUCGACGCGCAGUCGAUGGAAGUUUGAGGCAAUAACAGGUCUGUGAUGCCCUUAGAUGUUCUGGGCCGCACGCGCGCUACACUGCUGGGCUCAGCGAGUUUUACUUGGCCGAGAGGCCCGGUUAAUCUUGUGAAAUCCCAGCGUGCUUGGGCUCGCCUCCUGCAACUGGAGGCGCCAACGAGGAAUUCCUAGUAGACGCAGGUCAUCAACCUGCAUCGAUUACGUCCCUGCCCUUUGUACACACCGCCCGUCGUUCCAUAAGAGUGAGGCAUCCGGUGAAUUCUCGGGAAAGCCUGGGCGUGGCCAGCAAUGGUCUGCUCGGGUUUGAACUUGCAUAAACUUGG
rnacentral:rRNA from 1 species